GGGGCUGUAGCUUAGUUGGGAGAGCGCCGCGUUCGCAAUGCGGAGGUCAGGGGUUCGACUCCCCUCAGCUCCACCA
rnacentral:tRNA from 1 species